AUUUUAGUAGCUUAAUUUUUAAGAGCUUUAUAUUGAAGAUAUAAGAGUAAGUUUUACUUCUAAAAUA
rnacentral:tRNA from 1 species